AUUGAACGCUGGCGGCAGGCUUAACACAUGCAAGUCGAGCGGAGAUGAGGUGCUUGCACCUUAUCUUAGCGGCGGACGGGUGAGUAAUGCUUAGGAAUCUGCCUAUUAGUGGGGGACAACAUUCCGAAAGGAAUGCUAAUACCGCAUACGUCCUACGGGAGAAAGCAGGGGAUCUUCGGACCUUGCGCUAAUAGAUGAGCCUAAGUCGGAUUAGCUAGUUGGUGGGGUAAAGGCCUACCAAGGCGACGAUCUGUAGCGGGUCCGAGAGGAUGAUCCGCCACACUGGGACUGGGACACGGCCCAGACUCCUACGGGAGGCAGCAGUGGGGAAUAUUGGACAAUGGGGGGAACCCUGAUCCAGCCAUGCCGCGUGUGUGAAGAAGGCCUUAUGGUUGUAAAGCACUUUAAGCGAGGAGGAGGCUACUGAGACUAAUACUCUUGGAUAGUGGACGUUACUCGCAGAAUAAGCACCGGCUAACUCUGUGCCAGCCGCCGCGGUAAAAC
rnacentral:rRNA from 1 species